rnacentral:rRNA from 12 species
AGUCCCGCAACGAGCGCAACCCCUGUUGUCAGUUGCCAUCAGGUAAUGCUGGGGACUCUGACAAGACUGCCCGCGCAAGCGGAGAGGAAGGAGGGGACGACGUCAAGUCAUCAUGGCCCUUACGCCCGGGGCGACACACGUGCUACAAUGGCGCAUACAGCGGGUCGCGACACGGCAACGUGAAGCCAACCUCUAAAAGUGCGUCUCAGUUCGGAUCGGGGCCUGCAACCCGGCCCCGUGAAGCUGGAAUCGCUAGUAAUCGCGCAU